UUGUACGAAUUGUUCUGUUUCUUCUGAAGCCAUAUGAUAGCUUAAUGUGAGGUACAGAUAAAUAUUUAAGUCCUUAAAUUAAAGUUCA